rnacentral:rRNA from 1 species
CCUACGGGAGGCAGCAGUGAGGAAUAUUGGUCAAUGGACGAGAGUCUGAACCAGCCAAGUAGCGUGAAGGAUGACUGCCCUCUGGGUUGUAAACUUCUUUUAUAUGGGAAUAAAAUGUUUCACGUGUGGGAUUUUGUAUGUACCAUAUGAUUAAGGAUCGGCUAACUCCGUUCCAGCAGCCGCGGUAAUACGGUGGAUCCGAUCGUUAUCCGGAUUUAUUGGGUUUAAAGGGAGCGUAGGUGGAUUGUUAAGUCAGUUGUGAAAGUUUGCGGCUCAACCGUAAAAUGGCAGUUAAAACUGGAAGACUUGAGUGCAGUAGAGGUGGGCGGAAUUCGUGGUGUAGCAGUGAAAUGCUUAGAUAUCACGAAGAACUCCGAUUGCGAAGGCAGCUCACUGGGCUGCAACUGACGCUGAGACUCGAAAGUGUGGGGAUCAAACAGGAUUAGAUACCCGUGUAGUC